AUUGAACGCUGGCGGCAGGCCUAACACAUGCAAGUCGAGCGGAGCGGCGGAGGGGUGAGCAAUGCCUAGGAAUCUGCCUGGUAGUGGGGGAUAACGUUCGGAAAUGGGCGCUAAUACCGCAUCCUAUCAGCUUAGCCUAGGUCGGAUUAGCUAGUUGGGGGGGUAAAGGCCUACCAAGGCGACGAUCCGUAACUGGUCUGAGAGGAUGAUCAGUCACACUGGAACUGAGACACGGUCCAGACUCCUACGGGAGGCAGCAGUGGGGAAUAUUGGACAAUGGGCGAAAGCCUGAUCCAGCCAUGCCGCGUGUGUGAAGAAGGUCUUCGGAUUGUAAAGCACUUUAAGUUGGGAGGCGUUACCAGCAGAAGAAGCACCGGCUAACUUCGUGCCAGCAGCCGCGGUAAUAC
rnacentral:rRNA from 1 species